CCACGCCGUAAACGAUGAAUACUAGGUGUAGGAGGUAUCGACUCCUUCUGUGCCGCAGUUAACGCAUUAAGUAUUCCACCUGGGGAGUACGGCCGCAAGGUUAAAACUCAAAGGAAUUGACGGGGGCCCGCACAAGCAGUGGAGUAUGUGGUUUAAUUCGAGGCAACGCGAAGAACCUUACCAGGGCUUGACAUGACAGUGACGGGUUAAGAGAUUAACCGUUCCCUUCGGGGACACUGCCACAGGUGGUGCAUGGUUGU
rnacentral:rRNA from 1 species